UACAGAGGUGGCAAGCGUUGUUCGGAAUUACUGGGCGUAAAGGGCGCGUAGGCGGCCCGUCAAGUCCCGUGUGAAAGCCCCCGGCUCAACCGGGGAACUGCACGGGAAACUAGCAGGCUUGAGUUCGGGAGAGGGAAGCGGAAUUUCGGGUGUAGAGGUGAAAUUCGUAGAUAUUCGGAGGAACACCAGUGGCGAAGGCGGCUCACUGGCUCGAUACUGACGCUGAGGUGCGAAAGCGUGGGGAGCAAACAGG
rnacentral:rRNA from 1 species